rnacentral:lncRNA from 13 species
UGUGUUUUUCUCCACUUGAAGAAUUCAACGUCUGAAAAUUCGCGCGCUGAAGUUGUUAAAGAUCUGACGCGCUCGCUCUCUCUGCUCGGGACUGAUAUUUACGCUGUCAACGCGGGUGCAGCUACACUCACUGAAGUGUGCGUCAUGAAUUUAUCGCCCCGCCUCUGUUCAUUCAUAAAGCGUUAUGGGAAUCGUUUUUUUCCUGAAACGUCCCAGACAAAAUAGACGCAGGUUGAUUUUUGUGUUGAAAAGGGCGACUUCUUGUGGUCAUGGUAGAUAUUAGGCCACGCAAUUGAUUUUGUAACUCCUAUAUAUGGUAUGUGUGGUUAUUGCAUACAUGACCGCUAAUUAGGCUACUACUGCACAAUACAUCUUGUGUAGUAGUUAUAAUUACUCCCUCAUCCAUAUUGACUCCUUAUUUUCCUAAUCUAUUAGGCAUAAUCCUCCGUAAAUUAAAUUUAUUUGGAAUUUACAUGUAUGGUUGUGCAUGGACUGAUAGGCUUAAAAUCCAGUAGGCUACAAUAUUGGGCUAUGACAGGAUUUCCCAAACUCGGUCCUUGGGCCCAUACUGGGUGCAACCAACUCUGGUUAUUUGAAUCAUCGCUGUAGUGCUGAGGAGGUGUGGGGUAUGACUGUAUGGAUUAUAUAGUUAUGUUAUUUCCCUUGGAUAAAAGUAGUUCAGCUUGGUUUGGCUCUUGGUGCUGCUGUGGGUAGAAAAGGUCUCCGACGUCUCGGGACCAUCAGCGCCGUGACAGACUGGGAUGCACGCGCGAACGACUCUUUGGUUAAAAAAUAAAAGAGCCGAUCAACGGUAUUGUACAGUCUGAUACGUUCAAUGUUUCAUUUUCUCGGGACUAGUGCAUUGCCUGUCAGGACAACAGGUAUACAGUAAUAUGCUCUAUAACGCUCUGGUGACAAACAAACUUUGCUGCCUUGUUUCCAAUCAUCCACAUGGCUGGGAGAACCUAUUCAAGCGAGGCCUCUGAGCUGUCCUGGCUCUGAGCUGGAGGGAGUGAGGAUACUGCAGAGCUACGAGGAUGAGAAGGAGAUCCACCAGUUCUGUGUGGGAAAGAAAGCUGUGGUCAUUGGAGCCUCCUUCAUAGGAUGGCGCACACGCGCAGCGGGUUUGGGUUCGGUGUUAGAUGUCAUCGCUAACUCUGACUUCCUGGAGGAAAGCCAGGUGAAGGUGGAUUCUAGAAAGGCUGUCAUCAUUGAUAGUUCAUGAGGACCAACAUUCCAGAUGUUUUUGGAGACAUGGAGACAUGACGUCCUUUCCUCUCACCAUACCGAAAUACCAGAGGAUCAACAUCGGACAUUGGCAGCUGGCAUCAGCUCACGGUAAAAUCGAAUUGUAUUUGUCACAUGCUUCAUAGACAAAAGGUGAAAACUAACAGUGAAAUGCUUACUUACAGGUCCUUUUCCAACAAUGCGGAGUUAAAGAUAAGAUCAAAUAAAAAAUAUAAAUAGUGACAUGAGGAAUAAAUGCCCAGUGAAUAAUGAAUAGAAAUAAAGAGUAAAAAUUACAUGGAUAUAUAUAGGGAGGACAAAAUAACAUGGCUAUAUACAGGGAGUACCAGUACCUAGUCGAUGUGCAGGGGUACGUAAUUGAGGUAGCUAAGUAUUCAGACCCCUUGACCUUUUCCACAUUUUGUUACGUUACAGCCUUAUUCUAAAAUUUAAUAAAUAUUUUUUCCCCCCUCAUCAAUCUACACACAAUACCCCCAUGAUGAAAAAGCAAAACAAAUUUUUAGAUUUGUUUUCUCAUAAAAAAAGCAACAACACUGAAAUAUGUAUUCAGUCUCUUUACUCGGUACUUUGUUGAAGCACCUUUGGCAGAGAUUACAGCAUUGAUUCU